rnacentral:lncRNA from 1 species
GCGAGGGUGCGAACCUGCUGGGCUAACUGGUCGAACUGAGCGGCUUCGACCAUCUGAAUGGGGGGUGGAACGGUGGAGUGUUGCUGAGAAUGUGUUGGAGACGCAGCGGCCUCCCGGCCGGAGGCGCGAGAGGCCCCGCGACCGGAGGCAUUGGAAGCUCCACGACCACCUCGCCGUGCCAUUACGAUCGCUCUAAGAUUCG